rnacentral:rRNA from 1 species
CCCUUAGAUGUUCUGGGCCGCACGCGCGCUACACUGAUGAAUUCAACGAGCUCACAACCUAGACCGAAAGGCCCGGGUAAACUCCGAAAUUUCAUCGUGAUGGGGAUAGACUAUUGCAAUUAUUAGUCUUCAACGAGGAAUUCCUAGUAAGCGCGAUUCAUCAGAUCGCGUUGAUUACGUCCCUGCCCUUUGUACACACCGCCCGUCGCUCCUACCGAUUGAAUGAUCCGGUGAAAUCUUCAGAUUGCUGGCUUGGCCUUGGCAACUUGGCCUUGCUGCAAAAAGUUGAUUAAACCUUAUCAUUUAGAGGAAGGAGAANUCGUAACA